GUUCUUGUAGUUGAAGUACAACGAUGGUUCUUCAAAUCAUUGGUCUCGGUUAGAAUCCGAGCAGGAAUU
rnacentral:tRNA from 1 species